rnacentral:tRNA from 1 species
GGCCUGGUGGUCUAGCGGUUACGAUUCUUGCUUCGGGUCAGACCCUGCUUGUAGAAGCAUGAAAUGCGAGAGGUCCCGGGUUCAAAUCCCGGCCAGGCCC